UUGCUGUCACUUAUAGAUGGAUCCGCGCUGCAUUAGCUAGUUGGUAAGGUAACGGCUUACCAAGGCAACGAUGCAUAGCCGACCUGAGAGGGUGAUCGGCCACACUGGAACUGAGACACGGUCCAGACUCCUACGGGAGGCAGCAGUAGGGAAUCUUCCGCAAUGGGCGAAAGCCUGACGGAGCAACGCCGCGUGAGUGAUGAAGGUCUUCGGAUCGUAAAACUCUGUUAUUAGGGAAGAACAUAUGUGUAAGUAACUGUGCACAUCUUGACGGUACCUAAUCAGAAAGCCACGGCUAACUACGUGCCAGCAGCCGCGGUAAUACGUAGGUGGCAAGCGUUAUCCGGAAUUAUUGGGCGUAAAGCGCGCGUAGGCGGUUUUUUAAGUCUGAUGUGAAAGCCCACGGCUCAACCGUGGAGGGUCAUUGGAAACUGGAAAACUUGAGUGCAGAAGAGGAAAGUGGAAUUCCAUGUGUAGCGGUGAAAUGCGCAGAGAUAUGGAGGAACACCAGUGGCGAAGGCGACUUUCUGGUCUGUAACUGACGCUGAUGUGCGAAAGCGUGGGGAUCAAACAGGAUUAGAUACCCUGGUAGUCCACGCCGUAAACGAUGAGUGCUAAGUGUUAGGGGGUUUCCGCCCCUUAGUGCUGCAGCUAACGCAUUAAGCACUCCGCCUGGGGAGUACGACCGCAAGGUUGAAACUCAAAGGAAUUGACGGGGACCCGCACAAGCGGUGGAGCAUGUGGUUUAAUUCGAAGCAACGCGAAGAACCUUACCAAAUCUUGACAUCCUUUGACAACUCUAGAGAUAGAGCCUUCCCCUUCGGGGGACAAAGUGACAGGUGGUGCAUGGUUGUCGUCAGCUCGUGUCGUGAGAUGUUGGGUUAAGUCCCGCAACGAGCGCAACCCUUAAGCUUAGUUGCCAUCAUUAAGUUGGGCACUCUAAGUUGACUGCCGGUGACAAACCGGAGGAAGGUGGGGAUGACGUCAAAUCAUCAUGCCCCUUAUGAUUUGGGCUACACACGUGCUACAAUGGACAAUACAAAGGGCAGCGAAACCGCGAGGUCAAGCAAAUCCCAUAAAGUUGUUCUCAGUUCGGAUUGUAGUCUGCAACUCGACUACAUGAAGCUGGAAUCGCUAGUAAUCGUAGAUCAGCAUGCUACGGUGAAUACGUUCCCGGGUCUUGUACACACCGCCCGUCACACCACGAGAGUUUGUAACACCCGAAGCCGGUGGAGUAACCUUUUAGGAGCUAGCCGUCGAAGGUGGGACAAAUGAUUGGGGUGAAGUCGUAACAAGGUAGCCGUAUCGGAAGGUGCGGCUGGAUCACCUCCUUUCUAAGGA
rnacentral:rRNA from 2 species